rnacentral:rRNA from 1 species
CCUACGGGAGGCAGCAGUGGGGAAUAUUGCACAAUGGGCGGAAGCCUGAUGCAGCGACGCCGCGUGAGGGACGAAGGCCUUCGGGUUGUAAACCUCUUUCAGCAGGGACGAAGCGUGAGUGACGGUACCUGCAGAAGAAGCACCGGCUAACUACGUGCCAGCAGCCGCGGUAAUACGUAGGGUGCGAGCGUUGUCCGGAAUUACUGGGCGUAAAGAGUUCGUAGGCGGUUUGUCGCGUCGUUUGUGAAAACCCGGGGCUCAACUUCGGGCUUGCAGGCGAUACGGGCAGACUUGAGUGUUUCAGGGGAGACUGGAAUUCCUGGUGUAGCGGUGAAAUGCGCAGAUAUCAGGAGGAACACCGGUGGCGAAGGCGGGUCUCUGGGAAACAACUGACGCUGAGGAACGAAAGCGUGGGUAGCAAACAGGAUUAGAUACCCUGGUAGUCCACGCCGUAAACGGUGGGCGCUAGGUGUGGGUUCCUUCCACGGGAUCUGUGCCGUAGCUAACGCAUUAAGCGCCCGCCUGGGGAGGUACGGCCGCGACGACGUAACGUACGAAGAAGUAGACGGCGNGAAGAGUGCGAGACGACGACGAGGGAGAGG